GAUGUCUAACUCACCCUGAUUUAUCUAACCAAUUGUUUUAUUUUCAAUCCUAGGCAACAACUCUUGAAGUUCGAUGUCCACGCGUGGAAUGUCCCCCUCUUGUUUGCGAAGAAAAAGCUGCGAUUCGACCAGAUAAGAAAGCAUGUUGUAAGGUGUGCCCUACUAAUCUGUCGACAACCAAAUCUCCAAUCCUCUCAGAAGCUGCAUCGGAAGAAAAAAUACCCCAGCAGAGAUUAGACACUGAUGUGAUAGCUGCGGGCGGUUGCAAGUAUCCAGUCGGUGGCCCAUACGAAAAUGGCGCAGAAUGGCAUCCUCGUGUCUAUUCCCAUGGUGAAGUUAAAUGCGUCAAGUGUCGAUGCAAAGAUGGAAAAGUGAAGUGCGAACGGAAAAGAUGUGGCAGGUGGUCUUGUAAUGAUGAGUGCUGCGCAUCCAAGUGUCAAAAACGAAGAAGGAGAGAGUCAAAAAUCCGGGAGGCUAGGCUCAGAAGUUCUCGGCGGAAUUUGUCACCAUUUUAGAUGCUUCCAGGGAUCUUUUGGAUUUGAUUGAAUGUAAGCUUGAAUGCAGUAACAAGUCAACCAGUUGUUAAUGGAGUAUCCUUAAAUUUUCCCAUCACUGGCAAGUCCAUCUCCAACCUCAAAACUGCAAAAUUUAGCCCAACAAUCAAUCAACAGGAAACAUUUUUGGUGUUUUACUGUUUCAUUUUGACCUUGAACAACAGUUCCUUAUUGUAAGUUCUUCUGUCUUCCGACACUACAUCGUAUUUGACAGAUAGAGCUUGUCAGAUAAGGCCAUACACUUUUCAGUUACACGGUUAGUUGCAGUUGGCUAACUUAAAUAACAUUUUUAAUAACAUAAAGUUUCUUUGAAGCCAACUAAUAGAGAUCUGGCAAUUGUGAGGGCACUGUACCCUUACGAUGUGAAAAUGUGUUGCAGAGAGUAGUGUUACUAUGAUUUUACUGACCUACGAGCAUAAACUAUCAAAACUUGAUUCUGCGACAGGUGCAUCUGACCCAUCAGCUGAAGAUUGUGGCAGGUUGUGGCAGUACAUAUUGUUAGUUACUGUUCCAAUCACUCACUGUUUGUUUGACCAGUAAAGUAUUAUGAGUUCCGUCCAAUGUUACAGAAAUUUUUCUAUGUAGUCAACAUUACACAUAAAGAUCCACUGUUGCAUGAAAGUUUUAGGGAUUUUUCUUCGUGGCCUGAUUCUCUAAAAUUUUCUGGAUUUGUACCAAAACUUUUUUACAUUUAGAAAAGAUUUCAGUGCUGGUACUUUUUUAAACUAAUUUAACCAGAUAGUCUACACUGUGGUCCUCCGAAAAUAUCUCUACUUAUAGGUUUAAGAUAGAUGUAGCUUAUCACAGCCAUCUGUAAACUCCAAAAGUUGCAAAAUCAGCCUUCGCUUUCCUGAUAUAGACCUAGGUUUUAUCUUGGACUCUCCUCCUGGCAUGAAACUCUCUGAAAAGGUUUCACCU